rnacentral:rRNA from 1 species
GGUAGCUAGCGGCAGACUAACACAUGCAAGUCGAGGGGUAGAACACUUCGGUGUUUGAGACCGGCGCACGGGUGCGUAACGCGUAUGCAAUCUACCUUAUACAGGGGAAUAGCCCAGAGAAAUUUGGAUUAAUGCCCCAUGGUAUUAUAGAGUGGCAUCACUUUAUAAUUAAAGUUCCAACGGUAUAAGAUGAGCAUGCGUCCCAUUAGUUAGUUGGUAAGGUAACGGCUUACCAAGACGAUGAUGGGUAGGGGUCCUGAGAGGGAGAUCCCCCACACUGGUACUGAGACACGGACCAGACUCCUACGGGAGGCAGCAGUGAGGAAUAUUGGUCAAUGGUCGCAAGACUGAACCAGCCAUGCCGCGUGCAGGAAGACGGUCCUAUGGAUUGUAAACUGCUUUUAUACAGGAAGAAACCCUCCCACGUGUGGGAGCUUGACGGUACUGUAGGAAUAAGGAUCGGCUAACUCCGUGCCAGCAGCCGCGGUAAUACGGAGGAUCCAAGCGUUAUCCGGAAUCAUUGGGUUUAAAGGGUCCGUAGGCGGCCUUAUAAGUCAGUGGUGAAAUCCCAUCGCUCAACGAUGGAACUGCCAUUGAUACUGUAGGGCUUGAAUUAUUGUGAAGUAACUAGAAUAUGUAGUGUAGCGGUGAAAUGCUUAGAUAUUACAUGGAAUACCAAUUGCGAAGGCAGGUUACUAACAAUUGAUUGACGCUGAUGGACGAAAGCGUGGGGAGCGAACAGGAUUAGAUACCCUGGUAGUCCACGCCGUAAACGAUGGAUACUAGCUGUUCGGAGCAAUCUGAGUGGCUAAGCGAAAGUGAUAAGUAUCCCACCUGGGGAGUACGCACGCAAGUGUGAAACUCAAAUGAAUUGACGGAAGGGCGAAUUCUGCAGA